UCCGUACGGAAUCGCCGAUUCACUGUUCGGACUCGCCGAUUCCGUACAGUGAAUCGGCGAUUCACUGUACAGAAUCGUCCGGUUCUCUCUAGAACCGGACUAUUUCCGUUUUUUGGGCGAUCCGGUUCCUUUUUCACUAUUUCCGAGUCGAACCGGGCGAGUCCGGUUCGACUCGGCGUUUUUUAAAACGCUGCUUCUGAGUAAGGGUGGCAAUGGACCCGUACCCGACCCAGACCCACCCGGUAUACCGGACAUGGGUCCGGGUAUGGGUCCAACAUUUGGACCCGACAGGUCGGUCCAGUUCCAAAACUUGGACCCGAACACUAUUCGAGUCUAGGUCCGGGUCCGAUUGGUCCCGACCCGUACCCAACCCAUACCCAUAAAUCGUUGGAGAUAAAAUACUUUAAGCCCUAUUCAUUUGGGUAUAUUAAGGGUGGUAUACAAUACGACUCUCGGUGUCCUUUAACAAUUAAAUGAAAAAUUAGAUGGUUUGUUAGCUAUUAAAUAACAAAGUAGACGGCUUGAAAUCUAAUGGCGGGUGGUUGUGACCUUCUUGCCAAUAAUGCGGACAUAUGAUGGUAAAA
rnacentral:lncRNA from 1 species